CAGAUAGAGUCUAUUCCCUGUAGCUAUCUUGUCGUACCAGGCCACAGAGCAAUGGCAGGGAAAGCAAAUAUAUAUGACGAGUCCCAACAGGCAAUUUUAGCAUUCCACAAAGUUUUGAAGAAGUGGUCACGACUGGACUUCAGUGAAGAUUUGAGUCUGUCUUUGAUUUACGACAGUUUAGAUGUAGAGGACUUGUCAGCAAUGUCUUCACUCAUGUAUGGAUGAUCCAUGGCGGGAAAAAAAUCCUCAUGCGGUGAGGUGCACCCUACAAUUUUGAAAAUUUUAUUCACUCAGCUGUCAUUCACGGAUACAGAUUCGUCAACAAAAACAUUUCUAAUUAUGUUCAUUAAAUUCAGGGUAAUCAUGUUUAACAGAACAAUAAAAAAUAAGUAUCAGUGUU